CUGCGGAGGGAUCAUUACUGAGUUUACGCUCUACAACCCUUUGUGAACAUACCUAUAACUGUUGCUUCGGCGGGUAGGGUCUCCGCGACCCUCCCGGCCUCCCGCCUCCGGGCGGGUCGGCGCCCGCCGGAGGAUAACCAAACUCUGAUUUAACGACGUUUCUUCUGAGUGGUACAAGCAAAUAAUCAAAACUUUUAACAACGGAUCUCUUGGUUCUGGCAUCGAUGAAGAACGCAGCGAAAUGCGAUAAGUAAUGUGAAUUGCAGAAUUCAGUGAAUCAUCGAAUCUUUGAACGCACAUUGCGCCCGCCAGCAUUCUGGCGGGCAUGCCUGUUCGAGCGUCAUUUCAACCCUCAAGCUCUGCUUGGUGUUGGGGCCCUACAGCUGAUGUAGGCCCUCAAAGGUAGUGGCGGACCCUCUCGGAGCCUCCUUUGCGUAGUAACUUUACGUCUCGCACUGGGAUCCGGAGGGACUCUUGCCGUAAAACCCCCAAUUUCCAAAGGUGACCUCGGAUCAGGUAGGAAUCCCCAGUGAACUUAAGCAUAUC
rnacentral:rRNA from 1 species